ACUUGGGUAGUUUAAUUAGAAUAUGACGUUGAAAGCGUCAAGGUGUUUUCUCUAAGUG
rnacentral:tRNA from 1 species